AGUGAACGCUGGCGGUAGGCCUAACACAUGCAAGUCGAACGGCAGCACAGUAAGAGCUUGCCCUUACGGGUGGCGAGUGGCGGACGGGUGAGGAAUACAUCGGAAUCUACUUUUUCGUGGGGGAUAACGUAGGGAAACUUACGCUAAUACCGCAUACGACCUACGGGUGAAAGCAGGGGAUCUUCGGACCUUGCGCGAUUGAAUGAGCCGAUGUCGGAUUAGCUAGUUGGCGGGGUAAAGGCCCACCAAGGCGACGAUCCGUAGCUGGUCUGAGAGGAUGCUCAGCCACACUGGAACUGAGACACGGUCCAGACUCCUACGGGAGGCAGCAGUGGGGAAUAUUGGACAAUGGGCGCAAGCCUGAUCCAGCCAUACCGCGUGGGUGAAGAAGGCCUUCGGGUUGUAAAGCCCUUUUGUUGGGAAAGAAAAGCAGCAGGUUAAUACCCCGCUGUUCUGACGGUACCCAAAGAAUAAGCACCGGCUAACUUCGUG
rnacentral:rRNA from 1 species